UACGGGGGGGGGCAAGCGUUGUUCGGAAUUACUGGGCGUAAAGGGCGCGUAGGCGGCCUUCUAAGUCGGACGUGAAAUCCCUCGGCUUAACCGAGGAACUGCGUCCGAUACUGUCGGACUAGAGUCCGGUAGAGGAGAAUGGAAUUCCCGGUGUAGCGGUGAAAUGCGCAGAUAUCGGGAGGAACACCAGUAGCGAAGGCGGUUCUCUGGGCCGGUACUGACGCUGAGGAGCGAAAGCGUGGGGAGCAAACAGG
rnacentral:rRNA from 1 species